GUCUUUUUGUAUUUUAUUUAAAGUUUAACCUGCCCAUUGAAAAAUUUUAAAAGGCCGCGGUAUUUUAACCGUGCAAAGGUAGCAUAAUCAUUAGUUUUUUAAUUGAAAGCUUGUAUGAAUGGUUGAAUGUAAUAUUAACUGUCUCAUAAAUAUUAUUAUUAUAAUUUUAUUUUUUAGUUAAAAAACUAAAAUAUAUUUAUAGGACGAGAAGACCCUAUAGAGUUUAAUAAUUUUAAUUUUUAAAUAUUUUUAUUAAAAUUAUUUUUGUUUUUUAAUAUUUUUAAAUAUAUUAUUUUAUUGGGGAGAUAAUAAAAUUUAAUAAACUUUUAUAUAAUUUUAACAUAAAUUAAUGAAUUAUUGAUCCUUUAUUAAAGAUUAAAAAUUUAAAUUACCUUAGGGAUAACAGCAUAAUUUUUUUUUGAAGAUCUUAUUUAUAAAAAAGAUUGUGACCUCGAUGUUGGAUUAAAAUUAAUUUUAGGUGAAGAAGCUUAAUCUAUUAAGUCUGUUCGACUUUUAAUAUUUU
rnacentral:rRNA from 1 species